UACGUAGGGCGCAAGCGUUGUCCGGAAUUAUUGGGCGUAAAGAGCUCGUAGGCGGCUUGUCACGUCGGUUGUGAAAGCCCGGGGCUUAACCCCGGGUCUGCAUCCGAUACGGGCAGGCUAGAGUGUGGUAGGGGAGAUCGGAAUUCCUGGUGUAGCGGUGAAAUGCGCAGAUAUCAGGAGGAACACCGGUGGCGAAGGCGGAUCUCUGGGCCAUUACUGACGCUGAGGAGCGAAAGCGUGGGGAGCGAACAGG
rnacentral:rRNA from 1 species